GAUGAACGCUGGCGGCGUGCCUAAUACAUGCAAGUCGAGCGAACAGACGAUGAGCUUGCUCCUCUGACGUUAGCGGCGGGCGGGUGAGUAACACGUGUAUAACCUACCUAUAAGACUGGGAUAACUUCGGGAAACCGGAGCUAAUACCGGAUAAUAUAUUGAACCGCAGUGUUCAAUAGUGAAAUACGGUUUUGCGGUCACUUAUAGAUGGAUCCGCGCCGCAUUAGCUAGUUGGUAAGUUAACGGCUUACCAAGGCAACGAUGCGUAGCCGACCUGAGAGGGUGGUAGGCCACACUGGAACGGAGACACGGUCCAGACUCCUACGGGAGGCAGCAGUAGGGAAUCUGACGCAAUGGGCGAAAGUUUGACGGAGCAACGCCGAGUGAGUGACGAAGGUCUUCGGAUCGUAAAAAUCUGUUAUUAGGGAAGAACAACUGUGUCAGUAAAUAUGCACGUAUUGACGGUAACUAGUAAGAAAGCCACGGCUAACUACGUG
rnacentral:rRNA from 1 species